rnacentral:rRNA from 1 species
GAUGAACGCUGGCGGCGUGCUUAACACAUGCAAGUCGAACGGAGAUACCAUGUGAGCGUAAGAUGCUUGCAUCAAACAAUCUUUUGGUAUCUUAGUGGCGGACGGGUGAGUAACGCGUGGGUAACCUGCCUCAUACAGGGGGAUAACACUUAGAAAUAGGUGCUAAUACCGCAUAAGCGCACAGAGUCGCAUGACUCAGUGUGAAAAACUCCGGUGGUAUGAGAUGGACCCGCGUCUGAUUAGCUGGUUGUGGGGUAACGGCCUACCAAGGCGACGAUCAGUAGCCGGCCUGAGAGGGUGAACGGGCCACAUUGGGACUGAGACACGGGCCCAAACGUCCCUAACGGGGAGGCAGCAG